rnacentral:rRNA from 1 species
CAGCCGCCGCGGGAAUACGAGGGGGGCAAGCGUUGUUCGGAUUUAUUGGGCGUAAAGGGUGCGUAGGCGGUUUGGCAAGUCUUGUAUGAAAUCUAUGGGCUCAACCCAUAGCCUGCACGAGAAACUACCGGGCUUGAGUGAUGGAGAGGUGAGUGGAAUCUCCGGUGUAGCGGUGAAAUGCGUAGAUAUCGGAAGGAACACCUGUGGCGAAAGCGGCUCACUGGACAUUAACUGACGCUGAUGCACGAAAGCUAGGGGAGCAAACAGGAUUAGAUACCCCUGUAGUCCCUGUCUCUUAUAU